AUUGAACGCUGGCGGCAUGCCUUACACAUGCAAGUCGAACGGCAGCACGGGAGCAAUCCUGGUGGCGAGUGGCGAACGGGUGAGUAAUAUAUCGGAACGUGCCCAGUAGUGGGGGAUAACUGCUCGAAAGAGCAGCUAAUACCGCAUACGACCUGAGGGUGAAAGGGGGGGAUCGCAAGACCUCUCGCUAUUGGAGCGGCCGAUAUCAGAUUAGCUAGUUGGUGGGGUAAAGGCCUACCAAAGCAACGAUCUGUAGUUGGUCUGAGAGGACGACCAGCCACCCUGGGAAUGAGACACGGCACAGACUCCUACGGGAGGCAGCAGUGGGGAAUUUUGGACAAUGGGCGCAAGCCUGAUCCAGCCAUGCCGCGUGCAGGAAGAAGGCCUUCGGGUUGUAAACUGCUUUUGUCAGGGAAGAAAUCCUCUAGGUUAAUACCCUUGGGGGGAUGACGGUACCUGAAGAAUAAGCACCGGCUAACUACGUGCCAGCCGCCGCGGUAAAAC
rnacentral:rRNA from 1 species